rnacentral:sRNA from 12 species
CGGGUAGACAGACUAGCCCCGAUUGAAGUCUAGUCUAAAAAGAUACAAGGAUUAAAUUAUUAUG